rnacentral:lncRNA from 1 species
AUUUCACCAUGUAGGGACACAGCAUUUGUCCCAUUUGGAGGAAGCAGUGUUCAAGGCACCGUCCUGGAAGCAGAGAUUGGGCCAUCACCAGGCACCAAACCAGCUGGCACCUUGGUCUUGGACUUCCCAACCCCCAGAACUUGCCUCUUCUUGCCCAUGGAAGGACAUGCAGCUUCUUACUACUCCGCUGCCCAACACAGUUUAGUGGCUGGCCGCUCCACGGCUAGGAUCCUUCACACUACCUGAGACCUGAUGUCUCUGGCUCCAAAGGACGCAGCUCUGCUCAUCCCCCCAUGAGGCCUGUCAUGAGUUGCUGCGGCUGUGGAAGCCUGCCAUCCUCGGAUGGAGACUUUUCCCACCACCCUGUCCCUUUAAUUUCAGCAGGCACAUCAUCCCACUUCAUGUGGAUCCCCAGAGCAGCAGAUCUGGAAUCUCCUGUGAUGCUGAGGCCUUCAGGAACCACAAGAAACCCAUCUUAAUGAUGAAUCCUGGACUUGCUUUCCCCUUGGAACAGUCCUGGUUUCCCACAUUUACCUCCAAAAGAGCACUUAACGGCUGCCACGUGGCUGCCCUGAGGUUUGGGCUGAAACAACAUGACCGUCAUACCUUCCCAGACUCCUCCCAAGAAUGGUCUCUAGGUUCUCCUUGGCACAGUGGGGUACGAUGGGCUGCUCUGCCCAAACUGUGAUUUGGGGCAUAUAGCUAUGCCUUCUCUGGUUCCUCCGUACCUAGGUCUUUCUAGUGGCUACCUCUUCUACUCAGCAGGACAGAGAAGCUCUCUUGGUUUUUAUUCUUAGGAUCCAGGUGCAAAAAACAAAUAAACAAACAAACAAACAAAAAACCUCAUGGUAGCUAAUCUGCCCCCUCCCUUCUCUAUGAAAUGGGCAGGCAGAGAAAAUCCCCCUGACCCUGCCUAGCCCAUCCAUUCCUAAGGGACCUUACUAUAGCCAGAUUGCGAGAGGAGAGCAAAUUUAAAUGAAAUAAAUAUGAAUUUCCUCCUAA